AGGUUUUCACAUUGAUUAUGCAGA
rnacentral:miRNA from 10 species